rnacentral:rRNA from 1 species
GCGCGAAAACUUUACACUGCGGGAAACCGCGAUAAGGGGACCCCGAGUGCCAGCACCUAGUGCUGGCUGUCCUACUGUCUAAAUAACAGUGGUUAGCAAGGGCCGGGCAAGACCGGUGCCAGCCGCCGCGGUAACACCGGCGGCCCGAGUGGUAACCGUUUUUAUUGGGUUUAAAGGGUCCGUAGCCGGCUUACUAAGUCUCUUGGGAAAUCUGGCGGCUCAAUCGUCAGGCGUCCAAGAGAUACUGGUAGGCUUGGGACCGGGAGAGGUGGGAGGUACUCCAGGGGUAGGGGUGAAAUCUCGUAAUCCUUGGGGGACCACCGAUGGCGAAGGCAUCCCACCAGAACGGGUCCGACGGUGAGGGACGAAGCUGGGGGCACGAACCGGAUUAGAUACCCGGGUAGUCCCAGCCGUAAACGAUGCGCGUUAGGUGUAUCGAUGACCACGAGUCAUCGAGGUGCCGAAGGGAAACCGUGAAACGCGCCGCCUGGGAAGUACGGUCGCAAGGCUGAAACUUAAAGGAAUUGGCGGGGGAGCACCACAACAGGUGGAGCCUGCGGUUUAAUCGGACUCG